rnacentral:snoRNA from 1 species
GAGCUGUGACGAAACUGUGUUUACUGUGAUGGAUAGGUUUAUCAAACUCGUCUGAACUUAUCAGACGAACUAUGAUACAACAGAGCUC